rnacentral:rRNA from 1 species
UGCCAGCAGCCGCGGUAAUACGGAGGGUGCAAGCGUUAAUCGGAUUUAUUGGGCGUAAAGAGCGCGUAGGCGGGGAUUUAAGUCAGAUGUGAAAGCCCGGAGCUUAACUUCGGAAUUGCAUUUGAAACUGGAUCUCUAGAGGAUAGGCGGAGAAAACGGAAUUCCACGUGUAGCGGUGAAAUGCGUAGAUAUGUGGAAGAACACCCGUGGCGAAAGCGGUUUUCUAGCUUAUUCCUGACGCUGAGGCGCGAAAGCGAGGGGAGCAAACAGGAUUAGAUA